rnacentral:lncRNA from 1 species
GUUCUUGGCAAUACACCAGGAAAGCAUCUCUGCUGUUUUCAAAUUCAGGUGCCUAGUGGACUGAUGUCUCCCACUUAGGCACAGAGGCAGUGAGAGGAACCCAGACCUCCCCUUUCCUCAUGAAACCAGACCAGACCAAUCCUCCUGUGCUUUUACACUUCAGGCCAGUGAAGAUUGUGCCCCCUCUUCUUUUGACAGUAGGGUUGAAGACUUCUCCUUCUGAAGCUUGUAAUUACAGCAAUAACACAAAGGGUAAGAUACAUCUUGCUUUGAGGGAAACACUGAUCCCAGUGCCUCUGUUUAAGAGCAUGACAUCUGUGAGAGCUACAGCUUUGCUCUGAAAUGGAAAGAGCCUCCUGUCCGUGGCUUUUGGAUGAUGGACUAUGUUGCAUUUUCAGGGAGGGUUGGGGGGCUUCAAGACUUUCAGUCUUGAAGACAGAAGAACCCCCCACUGUCCUGUGCUGGGUGAAGAACCAAUGAAAACAGGGAAUUGAUGCUGGCUGCUGGAUCUGGGAUCCUGCAAACCAGGUCCAUUUCUACAGUGAUUUUCAAAGAGAUGGACAUGCAAAGUGGAAAAGAGAAGAUGUGGAAAUGUGGCAAUCCUUUGAUCCUUUCCAAGAUUUUCCAUUACAAAGUACGAAAAAGCUCAAUAGAGCUGAUGGAUAGAGCUGCUCCCUCAGCUUACCCAAAGAGCAGAAGUCAUGAAGGUGCAUUUAUGGACAGCAGACAUGACCUCCAGUCUGCUUCUCUUCUCAGGAAGAAAAGUCAACACAGACUUCCAGCAUCCAGUAAGCUCUCUGAAUAA